rnacentral:sRNA from 1 species
GCCAGGCAUGGUGGCAUGAGCCUGUACUCCCAGCUACUGAGGAGGCUGAGGCAGGGGGAUCACUUGAGCCUAGGAGUUGGAGGUUGUAGUGAGCUAUGAUGACACCACUGCACUCUAGCAUGGAUGACAGAAUGAGAUUUUGUCUCAAAGAAAGACAAGAGGAUUGCUUGAGCCCAGGAGUUUGAGGUUGCUGUGAGCUAUGAUGACACCACGGCACUGUAGCCCAGGCAACAGAGUGAGACUCUGUCUCA